rnacentral:sRNA from 1 species
UGCCUAAGUCCUAAUAGGAUAUGGCACAAAAAACCUACCAUAGGAUAGAGAGCUCGUCGUCAGAGCACCUGUGGUAGGUCAUAUCCCGAAAGGGGUAUGGGUGGUCGCAAGACCAUC